AAAAAAAAAAAAAACGUAAAAUACAUUGCUUAAAAUAUUGAUAUAAAUAUUAUUUUUAUGACAUGUUUAGAGGGUUAGUUAAUAAUUUUUAUAAUAGAAAUAUUUAGUUAAAUUAGUAAAAUUUGUGCCAGCAUCUGCGGUUAGACUAAGAAUUUGGUUGAUAUAUUUUAGAGUUUAUGAUGAGUUUAAUUUAUGGGGUAUGAUUUGGUGAAAUAAUAGUUUGAAAUUUAAUUGUAUUGAUUAAUAUAGCUUUAUUAAAAGCAGGAUUAGAUACCCUGUUAUAUAUUUUGAGUAUUUUCUAAGGAUUAAUGUUAAAUUUAAAAGAUUUGGCGGCUAAAAAAAAUUAAAGGAGUUUGUUUUUUUAUUUGAUGAGACACACUAUGUCUUACUUAUUUUGUUUAGUAUACCGUCAUUUAAGAUAGCUUAUAAUUAAUUAGUUGUCUAAGUGUGUUUAAAUAAAUUAGAUCAAGGUGCAGAUAUAAAUAAGGAAAAAUUAACUACAAUAGAAUAUUACUAUACUUGAUUUUUUUAAUACUAUUGUGUAGGUGGAUUUAAUUGUAAUUAAAAUUUUAUGAAAUUGGUUUUAGUGUACAAAUUGCCCGUCAUUCUCUAUGAGACAAGUCGAAACAAAGUAGGGCUAUCGGAAGUUGGACCUA
rnacentral:rRNA from 1 species